UACGUAGGGGGCGAGCGUUGUCCGGAUUUAUUGGGCGUAAAGAGCUCGUAGGCGGUUUGGCAAGUCGGGUGUGAAAACUCCGGGCUCAACUCGGAGACGCCACUCGAUACUGCUAUGACUCGAGUCCGGUAGGGGAGUGCGGAAUUCCUGGUGUAGCGGUGAAAUGCGCAGAUAUCAGGAGGAACACCGGUGGCGAAGGCGGCACUCUGGGCCGGAUACUGACGCUGGAGGAGCGAAAGCGUGGGGAGCGAACAGG
rnacentral:rRNA from 1 species